GGCCGGUUAGCUCAGUGGUUUGAGUGCGAUGCUAAAAACAAUGACAACACUGAGGUCGUGGGUUCGAUUCCCACCCAGUCCC
rfam:Apaloderma vittatum contig60746, whole genome shotgun sequence.